ACAGCAGGACGGUGGCCAUGNAAGUCGGAAUCCGCUAAGGAGUGUGUAACAACUCACCUGCCNAAUCAACUAGCCCUUAAAAUGGAUGGCGCUAGAGCGUCGGGCCUAUACCGGACCGUCGCGGCAGUGCGGCCUUCGGGCUGCGACCCAUGCGGNGACGAGUAGGCAGGUCGCGCCGGUCGCGUGGAAGGCUAGGGCCGCGAGCCCGGCUGGAGCG
rnacentral:rRNA from 1 species